rnacentral:lncRNA from 1 species
ACUGAAUUCUGAUGGGCUACCUGGAACUGGCUUAGGGUGGGAUUACAUACGCCUCCUGCCACAUCGGAUUUCCUUCUAUUUUGUCAGGGGUGGCAUCAUCCAGUGAGUAAAUCUGUUAGUGAUCUCCCUCGCAUAACCUAGGAAUUCUCUCAGGAUCCAUUUUUCCAGUAGUUUUGAGAAAGCGACCAACAACAGCAAAGAGAGUAGUUCUUCCAUUCCAAGAGCAGCCAUCUUGCUUAACUGACAAACUAGAGAGAACUGCAAGGACUCAGUACAUCCCUGGCACAGUCCAUUCUCUCUCACAGCAUAUUGUAUGAGACUGUGUGAGUGCUGCUUCCACGCUACACUAAAAACCCAUGGUCCCUGCAUUAUUUGAGCAACUGACAAGCUUCUGAAGUUCAGGUUCGCGAACGCUGAGAGCAGCACCCAGUGGAUUUGUGGCAGGCAUUUCUGCAUUAAAUGAUAUCAGAGUGGACACAGGAGAAAGAAAAGUCUAUUGUUGUGUCCACCAUAAAAAUAGACGUGUGGAUGAAAUGAUCUUGGAGCAGAAUCGACUAGAGAGGGUGAACUUGGGCAGAAGAAAUCAACUCGGACAAGCCAGAGUCCCUGACAAGGUCGUGAGGUCUCAAGCCAAUGGGAUGACAUAAAAAGAUUUUUGAUGAACCAAGCUGGCUGGUGUCGCCUCAGUUUGUCUAAAUUACCAAGGACCGCUGGAAUUUCCCUGGGAAUAUGUUUCGGGAAAGGUCAGAAACUCUUCAGUCGUCUUCACGCUUCCACUCAGUAGCAACGUUUUUGCACACUCAUUGACUAUCAACUGGUUGUCUAUGACUCAAAUUACAUAAUGAAUCCAGCACAUAAAUUAUUUACUCAGAUUUAAUGCCAGCAACUGUUAUCUUUGUAUUUUUUUCCCCUCUGCCAGCUAAUCUGGCUCAUUUCAUUGGAAUUUUGGUCAUGCCCAUUCUCCUUCUGCACUAAAUUAACUCCAUAACGUAGUAUAAACAGAACAAGCUUGUGUGUGAUAUGCUUAACUGUUAAUUUACCUAAUUAAACUAAUUCAAUUAAAUCAUUUACAUCUUUUUGGUAACAUGCCAGUUGAUACCACAGCAGAAGUGGGAUGUUUCAGAAGAUGAUUGUUCAGCAAAUGAAUGGAAAAAAAAAUAAAAGGAAAACAAAAUGAGACAACCGUCCAAAUCUCUUGGCUUGAAAAUUAAAUGAUACUGAAAAAAUGCAGCUUUCACGGGGCACUGUGAUUAGAUAUUUUUCUGAAAUCAAUUUUCUCUACAAAUUGGUAUUUUAACAGAGUGAUCACAAUCUAUUGUACAAAAUAUUUUAAACACUAUUUGUACAUUCACAUAUUUGGUAUGUUUAAGUAAAGUGUGCUUGUUCCCACA